GGGAUUUACAGCUGUGGAUGUGUUUAUGACCCGUUAUUACGACGGAUCUGAAGACUUCGCCACAACGAGAUCCAGCGGCUUUUGAAGGUCUUCAUACCGCCAUGGCGGCCCAAGCCAGUCAGAUAGCGGCCAAUCAGUUCCAGCUGAAUCGUCUAACCACGAUCACGGAGGAGCUCGUCAAGGCCGUUCAGAAUCUCCAUACUGCUCCCACGGUUCCACCAACGCCGGAGGCAUCCGCCAUUGCCCACGUGUCAGGAAUGCCAUCUCAGGCCAAUCCGCGCCUUGCUUUCUCGGAUAAAUACAACGGUGACACCAGCAAGUGUAAGGAAUUUCUAUUGCAAUGCUCUCUGUUUGUGGAACAACAACCCUCACUGUACACUACGGAUACUGGGAAAAUCUCCUUUGUUUGUUCUCUAUUGACUGAGAAGGCACUCGAAUGGAUUACGGCCGUGUGGGGGUCCGAUGGAUCCACCUCCUUUCAAGAUUUCCUGCAGCAAUUCCGGGACAUAUUUGAUCAUCCUAAGGAGGGAAAGGGAGCUGGAGAUCGCUUACUGGAGUUGUCACAAGGCAGGAUGACGGCGGCGGAUUACGCUCUACGAUUUCGCACUCUGGCAGCACAAACUAACUGGGUAAUCUCAUCAUCUUCAUCGAGCUGACCAUAUCCAUUGACAACCUGCAACGUGCCCGGUGAUCCAAUUCCCGUCACACUGUGCACCCAGCAUUCUUGCCUGCUCAGGAAUCUACUGAACCCAUGCAGGUUAACACUUACCAUCUAUCUACGGAGGAGAGAGAUCGACGCAUUUCCAAUAGAUUGUGCAUGUAUUGUGGACUACCCGGCCAUCAACGCCAUAACUGUCCUACUCGUACGUCAACCUUCUCUCAGCGCUCGGUGAGUACUCCCCUCACUUCCAUGUGUGAUACCCAGAGUGUAAGCAUUCCUGUUGAGUUUUGGAUUAAUGAUAGACAAGUUGUCACCUCUGCCUUACUCGAUUCCGGGGCUGCUGUUAACUUUAUCUCUGAAGAAUUCACUAAGAGGUAUAACGUUCAACUUAUCCCAUGCUCUACCUCUCUCUCAGUGGAAACAAUAGAUGGUCGACCACUCUGCUCUGGGUCCAUCACUCAUCUCACCCACAAGGUUGUUAUGGCGGCUGGUUUAUUGCACAAGGAGAGGAUCCAAUUCUACAUCCUCCCCAUCUCACACACUAGUGAUUCUUGGAUUACCUUGGCUACGUCUACAUAACCCCCAAAUCUCAUGGAGAGAGGGUCAAGUGGUGAAAUGGAGCAAUUUCUGUCAACAGAACUGUCUUUCCCUGGUCAAACCUAUUCCUGUCUGUUCCGUGUCCCUUACCUCCACUCUGCCAGGGGAAUACACAGACCUUCUGGAGGCCUUCAGUAAGAAACAGGCCAACACCUUACCUCCUCACCGCAAGUAUGACUGUGCAAUCGAUCUUCUACCAGGGCAUUCUCCUCCAAAGGGUCACAUCUUUCCAUUGUCUCAACCUGAGUCUGACGCUAUGAAGGAUUGGAUUACAUCAAGGAGGAGCUCCAAAAAGGGUUCACCACCAUACUCACCAUCAUAGAUCAGGCUCAUGUUCACCUGCAACACGCCGUAAGGAGGCAGAAGGAGCAGGCGGACCGCAGAAGGCACCCAGGUCACAAUUAUCAGCCAGGCCAGUGGGUAUGGCUAUCCACAAGGGAUCUCCAUCUCCGGCUCCCAUGCCGCAAGUUGAGUCCAAGCCUGCUGCUGGUCCCAGAGACGAGCCUACAGUAUCUGGUCGACUGGGAGGGGUACGGUCCAAAAGAACGCUUGUGGGUGAACUCGGAGGACAUCCUAGAUCCCAAUCUUUUCAAUGAGUUUCACCGUCUACAUCCUGGUAAACCGGCCCCUCGACCCCGUGGUAGACCCCGACGUUGUGUGCCUCCUCGCGCCAGGAGUCGCUCGCGGGGGGGUGGUUGGGCUCUGUCACAGAGACGAACCCCGUGAUUCCCUCUGCUGGCCAGCGGAGGGCACCCUCAUCUGAAUACUGACACACACGCAUCCAUUCAUUCACUUACACUGACGACACUACAUUUCCCACAAGCCCCAUCCUUGGACUCUGAUCACCUGUACAGGUCAUCGUCAUCAUUGUGUAUGUGUAUUUAAGCUGGACUUCCACCACAGUUCAAACGCGAAGUCUUGAUUUGCUGUGUCUGUCAUUUCUGAGCGUUAUUACCCCUGUUUGAUUUCCUGUUACCGAUUCUGCCUGUUAUCUCUACGUACCUCUGCUGCCUGCCUACUGACCACUUGCUUGUUACUGGAUUACUGAUUCUCUGUUCUGCCCACUCUGUUGAUAUUGCUGGUUCCGACCAUUGCCUGUAUGACUACGAGCCUUUAUAAUAAAGCCUGCAUUAUGGAUCUUAUGUCGAGUUCUGGUUCAUUGCAACAUUUUUCUGGUUUAAUUGCGAUAAGAUUUUUUUCUAGAUCCUACAUUAUAUUUAUAUUUUGACCACAC